rnacentral:sRNA from 1 species
ACUGUUCGCCAUUCAUAUAAAGUGACCCGGUUGAGUGACGAAGUUUUGUGACUGUUACCAAGCAUGUUAAUGGUAUACAAUAAUAUGCGACAUAAAGAUCAUGUAUCUGUACAUAAUAUUAAUGAUUGCAAUUUUUUUGAGUGACCAUUGAAUGUAGAUAUGCAUACGCGUGUCAAGAUGUUUAUAUGUAAAAGUGUGUGCUUUUUUCAUAGUUUUGAUUUUAAUGUAUACAUACUGUAUGAUGUAUUCAUAUUUUUUUGUCCUCUAAUGGAUCAUGUCCCUUACCUGACGGUGUUAUACAUGUAAUUUCAAAAAGACAAGCAUACAAAAUUAUUUUGACACAUUUUUUUCCAUUUCUUCAUAAGAUUAGAUAUAUAAAACUAUCUAAAUAUUCGAGGGUUAUUGAUUGUUAAAUGUACGUGUAAAAUACUACUGGAUUAUUAUUUUUCAAAAUGUUCUAAGGAUUAAAGGUCAGUUUGAAUCUUAUUUGGUCAUCAUUCCAUGUCAUUAAUUGCUCAAAUACCAAGAUUUCAAGAACUGCUGCCACAUAGUUAAAAAUGUUUUAUUGUGGUAUAUUGAUGCUCAAUUUAAUAGUACACAUAUUAUUUUUUUUCUGCAUGUCUAAAAUAUAUUACCAGCUCGAUCAAGAUGAUGAUUUUCACCUUUGUAUAUAGAAAGAAAAGGCUGAAUAACAACAUCCAGUCUAAUUAUUUGUACAAAAGACUGAGCUUGUUUGCCAAGGAAUUGCUUUUAUUUGCUAUUUAUUAACUUUUCCAAUUCCAAAGUCUUAGCAAAUUGUUAAUUUUGGGUUUAAAGUAAUAUUUAUUAUAUGUACAUUCAUUUUAAAAAAAAAAACGAAUUUUUUUAAUGUCUACAAGAACUAGCUUUUGACAUAUGUUCUAUGGACAAAGGUUAUUUACAACUAGUUUUCUACUUUUUUAUAAAAUUAUAUUUAAUUUUUCUUAUUUCUUUUCUUGAAUUAUAGAUGUUUUUAAUUUUUUGAAUUUUAUUGACAUCUUUGUAGUUUGCAAUAUAGCUGUUUAAACAGUAAUUUAAUUCAUAUUUAAGAAUUGACAAGUUGUAUAUAUGUACAAAUCCAAAGGUUUUCCAUACCGAACUCCAGUUUAGUGCAUACAGCCUCGAUAGAUGGGAAGCGCCUAUGAUUUUGUGUACAUGUACUUUUGCAUAACAAUGGUCACUCUCAAUCUGUAGAUUAUUAAUAUAAUAUGUGCCUUAAGCAUAAGCCCUCUUGAAAAAGUCACUAUACAUCUGUCUUGUUAAUAUCUUUAAAGUUUAAAAAUAAAAAUUUG